UGUCAUGUCACUCAAUAAUAAGAGAUGUAUGAGAACAAUGAGAAUUAAAUUAUUGUGGAAUUGUGCUAGGAUAAUCUUUCUUUCAGGAUUAUCUUUUUCAUUUUGAGGAUGCAUUGAUGAAAAGCAAAAUAUCAGAACUUAUAGCUAGCGAAUUUUUUCGCAAGGACCGCUGCCCGGCUGCGGGGGAUUCCUAUGAUUUGUAUAUCACUGUUCAGCAUCAUCACUGCGGCAACCCUGGUGUGCUGCCUACCAUAUUGUGCCCGAGGCUUAUUGACCCCUACGUGCUCCUGCCCACCUGUCCCCGUGUGCCCUGAUUGUGGAAUGCCCUAUUAAUUGCACACCCACUGUGGAACACAUUUUGUACUACAUAGUACAACUAUUAUAACUUUUAUAAUAUCUAAAGAGUUUCUUCUGUGAGUUAACUAUUUUCUAAAUCAUACUUCGGUUAUUUUAAUUUGAAAUCCAAGCCAGAUAUUUAUAAUUUUAUUAGCAUCUUACACGUUGAUGUUAAAUUGGAGUUGUUAGUAAAUAUGAUUUGUAUGUCAGCUAUAACAGCGCUGGUCGCUGUGGGUUUGAUUGCAUGUGGUCCAGUACUUUGUGAGAGAUGCUUCAGUUGUUUCUUAAUGAGCACAAAAACCAAAAAAUAGUUCUUGUCAAUGAUGGAAUACUGUGUUGUUAAUACAAUUUUGCUGUAACAGAAUUAGCCACAGUGUCUGUGAUUAUUGUCAUUUCCUUUUUAGUAGCUGUGAAUUAACUUGGUACAAUAAAUGCUUUAAAAAUG